GUGCCGACCGACCAUCCCUGAAAGCUUGAUUACUGAACUUGGAGCGAGUGGCCUCCACACGCCACUCUUGGUUUUUGGUUCCUGUUCAACGCGCCGGCGCGUGACCAUGCCUGUGCUAUCCUCCGAAGACGUCCGGCAGUUGCACUUCAUGUUUCAACAUCGCCUCAACCUGGUGAUUCUAUUCCCAUGGGCUGUUGUUUAGUUUGGGGCAAUUUUUGGAUCUCCAAGGUUUGAGAUCUUGAGUUCACUUUCAAGCAGUUCUAUUUUGGGAAACUUCAGAUUCUGUUUCAAGGAAUCCCUUUUGUUUCUAAGUUUUAUUGUAUUUAUUUAAGGAUUGGCUAGUGUUGGCACUUGUUUUAUUGGUACCUAUUGAGUCUGCUUUGCUUAAUUGAGAAUUGGGACCAAGUUGGUUAUUAUUGUGUUAGAAUUUUGUUAAUUUUAUUUAAUGGCAGACAAUAAGGCUAUUAUUUCUGAU
rnacentral:misc_RNA from 1 species